rnacentral:siRNA from 1 species
CCAGUUGAGCUAACAACACUUGA